GAUGAACGCUGGCGGCGUGCCUAAUACAUGCAAGUCGAGCGAACAGACGAGGAGCUUGCUCCUCUGACGUUAGCGGCGGACGGGUGAGUAACACGUGGAUAACCUACCUAUAAGACUGGGAUAACUUCGGGAAACCGGAGCUAAUACCGGAUAAUAUAUUGAACCGCAUGGUUCAAUAGUGAAAGACGGUUUUGCUGUCACUUAUAGAUGGAUCCGCGCCGCAUUAGCUAGUUGGUAAGGUAACGGCUUACCAAGGCAACGAUGCGUAGCCGACCUGAGGGGGUGAUCGGCCACACUGGAACUGAGACGCGGUCCAGACGCCUACGGGAGGCAGCAGUAGGGAAUCUUCCGCAAUGGGCGAAAGCCUGACGGAGCAACGCCGCGUGAGUGAUGAAGGUCUUCGGAGCGUAAAACUCUGUUAUUAGGGAAGAACAAAUGUGUAAGUAACUAUGCACGUCUUGACGGUAACUAAUCAGAAAGCCACGGCUAACUACGUG
rnacentral:rRNA from 1 species